rnacentral:rRNA from 1 species
CCGCGUGUGUGAAGAAGGCCUUCGGGUUGUAAAGCACUUUCAGUUGUGAGGAAAAGUUAGUAGUUAAUACCUGCUAGCCGUGACGUUAACAACAGAAGAAGCACCGGCUAACUCCGUGCCAGCAGCCGCGGUAAUACGGAGGGUGCGAGCGUUAAUCGGAAUUACUGGGCGUAAAGCGCACGCAGGCGGUUUGUUAAGCUAGAUGUGAAAGCCCCGGGCUCAACCUGGGAUGGUCAUUUAGAACUGGCAGACUAGAGUCUUGGAGAGGGGAGUGGAAUUCCAGGUGUAGCGGUGAAAUGCGUAGAUAUCUGGAGGAACAUCAGUGGCGAAGGCGACUCCCUGGCCAAAGACUGACGCUCAUGUGCGAAAGUGUGGGUAGCGAACAGGAUUAGAUACCCUGGUAGUCCACACCGUAAACGCUGUCUACUAGCUGUUUGUGACUUUAAGUCGUGAGUAGCGAACCUAACGCGCUAAGUAGACCGCCUGGGGAGUACGGCCGCAAGGUUAAA